CGGAUAACAUCGGUGUGGUUGUCAAAUUAUUUCCAAAAAUUGAUACCAUAAAAUAUGUACGUAUAAAAUGUCAUUAUUAUAUUUUUUUCCCGAAAACCUGUGUAUACUUUCAGCGGCUUCUCGUGGAAAAAACUGGUUCAAAUUCGGGGAUUAAAGUUGUUUUAUAGGCGAAUUAGAGUGAUAAAAGUUGGAAGUAGUAAUUUCUCUCUUGAAAUUAUUUCAAUGUGAAUUUCACC